CCUACGGGUGGCUGCAGUGGGGAAUAUUGGACAAUGGGCGAAAGCCUGAUCCAGCCAUGCCGCGUGUGUGAAGAAGGCCUUCGGGUUGUAAAGCACUUUCAGUGGGGAAGAAAGCCUUGGGGCUAAUACCCUCGAGGAAGGACAUCACCCACAGAAGAAGCACCGGCUAACUCCGUGCCAGCAGCCGCGGUAAUACGGAGGGUGCGAGCGUUAAUCGGAAUUACUGGGCGUAAAGCGCGCGUAGGCGGUCUGAUAAGCCGGUUGUGAAAGCCCCGGGCUCAACCUGGGAACGGCAUCCGGAACUGUCAGGCUAGAGUGCAGGAGAGGAAGGUAGAAUUCCCGGUGUAGCGGUGAAAUGCGUAGAGAUCGGGAGGAAUACCAGUGGCGAAGGCGACCUUCUGGACUGACACUGACGCUGAGGUGCGAAAGCGUGGGUAGCAAACAGGAUUAGAUACCCCGGUAGUC
rnacentral:rRNA from 1 species